rnacentral:rRNA from 1 species
GACGAAGGAUGCAAGCGUUAUCCGGAUUCAUUGGGUUUAAAGGGUGCGUAGGCGGCCCAGUAAGUCAGUGGUGAAAGCCUGUUGCUCAACAACAGAACUGCCAUUGAUACUGCUAGGCUUGAGUACAGAUGCUGUGGGCGGAAUAUGACAUGUAGUGGUGAAAUACAUAGAGAUGUCAUAGAACACCGAUUGCGAAGGCAGCUCACAAAACUGUAACUGACGCUGAGGCACGAAAGUGCGGGGAUCAAACAGG